AUGGACAUGAGGGGCCCCACUCAGCCUUUGGGACUCCUGCUGCUCUGGGUCCAAGGUGCCAGAUGUGACAUCCAGAUGACCCAGUCUCCAUCCUCACAUUCUGCAUCCAUAGGAGACACUGUCAACAUCACUUGUUGGAUGAGAGAGGACAUCAGUAAAUACUUAGCUUGGUAUCAGCAGAAACCAAAGAAAGUUCCAAAACUCUUGAUCUAUAGAGCAUCUAAUUUGGAAUCUGGGGUUCCAGCAAGGUUUAGUGGCAGUGGAUCUGGGACAAGUUUCACUCUCACCAUCAACAGUGUGGAGGCUGAAGAUUUUGAAACUUAUUACUGUCAACAGUAUAACAGUUACCCUCCCACAGUGAUACAAGCCAUGACAUAA